AUUGAACGCUGGCGGCAGGCUUAACACAUGCAAGUCGAGCGGGGGGAGGUAGCUUGCUACCGGACCUAGCGGCGGACGGGUGAGUAAUGCUUAGGAAUCUGCCUAUUAGUGGGGGACAACAUCUCGAAAGGGAUGCUAAUACCGCAUACGUCCUACGGGAGAAAGCAGGGGAUCUUCGGACCUUGCGCUAAUAGAUGAGCCUAAGUCGGAUUAGCUAGUUGGUGGGGUAAAGGCCUACCAAGGCGACGAUCUGUAGCGGGUCUGAGAGGAUGAUCCGCAACACUGGGACUGAGGCACGGCCCAGACUCCUACGGGAGGCAGCAGUGGGGAAUAUUGGACAAUGGGGGGAACCCUGAUCCAGCCAUGCCGCGUGUGUGAAGAAGGCCUUAUGGUUGUAAAGCACUUUAAGCGAGGAGGAGGCUACUUUAGUUAAUACCUAGAGAUAGUGGACGUUACUCGCAGAAUAAGCACCGGCUAACUCUGUGCCAGCAGCCGCCGUAA
rnacentral:rRNA from 1 species